rnacentral:rRNA from 1 species
CCUACGGGAGACUGCAGUGAGGAAUAUUGGUCAAUGGGAGGAAUCCUGAACCAGCCAUGCCGCGUGCAGGACGACGGCUCUACGAGUUGUAAACUGCUUUUGUACCGGGGUAAAAUGCUCUACGAGUAGGGUUUUGAAAGUACGGUACGAAUAAGGAUCGACUAACUCCGUGCCAGCAGCCGCGGUAAUACGGAGGAUCCGAGCGUUAUCCGGAUUCAUUGGGUUUAAAGGGUGCGUAGGUUGUGUUAUAAGUUAGCGGUGAAAUACCGAGGCUCAACAUCGGGGCUGCCGCUGAUACUGUAGGACUAGAGAGCGGAUGCGGCAGGCGGAAUGUGUAGUGUAGCGGUGAAAUGCAUAGAUAGUACACAGAACACCGAUUGCGAAGGCAGCUUGCUAGGCCGGAUCUGACGCUGAUGCACGAAAGCGUGGGGAGCGAACAGGAUUAGAUACCCCUGUAGUC